GGGCCCGCACAAGCGGUGGAGCAUGUGGUUUAAUUCGAUGAUACGCGAGGAACCUUACCAGGGCUUAAAUGUAGUGGGACAGGUCUAGAGAUAGACCCUUCUUCGGACUCAUUACAGGUGCUGCAUGGUUGUCGUCAGCUCGUGCCGUGAGGUGUCAGGUUAAGUCCUAUAACGAGCGCAACCCCUAUCGUUAGUUGCCAGCGAGUAAUGUCGGGAACUCUAACGAAACUGCCAGUGCAAACUGUGAGGAAGGUGGGGAUGACGUCAAAUCAUCACGGCCCUUACGUCCUGGCUACACACGUGCUACAAUGGGGAAUACAGACGGACGCUAAGCCGCGAGGUGGUGCU
rnacentral:rRNA from 1 species